GAAAUACAUCAGCUGCUGCUCAUCAGAAUCAAAAUCGUCCAGAGAAUUUUAUGAAAAAAUCCUCAACUUCUGUUGUUCAGGCAAAUGUGCAGGAUAAUGGUAUAAAUCAAAAGGUACAAAAUUAUGCUUUAAAGUUUGGUGUUGUGUUUAUUAAUUUAUCUACUUAACUUUUAUUUCCAUGAGCUGUCUCCUUCAGCAGCAUAGUACUGAUUGGUUAGGGAAAUUUUUAUUCAUGAAAUCUGAUCCAUUUUCCUGGCAGAGAAAGUAUUGAGUUAGCUUUGUGCCAAGUGCAUGAUGAAUUUUAGCAGAAAAUAAUCCAAACAAACAUUUGGCAGUAAUAAUAAUAAUGAUAGCUUGUGUUUAUUGAGCAUAUACUAUUGACCAGGUGUUGUACUAAGCUAGAAUAAUGGAAAACAAGGGAAUUGGAUAAUAUAAGAUAAAGAGAAGAAUAAUACAUAAUUGCUCCUCUAAAAAACUCAUUGUCUAGUGAGGUGACAGACAUGGAAAAAUAUUAUUCCAAUAAAAUGAUCCUGGAAUGAUGAAUUUUACUUUGGUUCUGGACAGUGUUUUCAAUAAGGAUUACACUGGUUUGGACUGGAUAUGAAUGGAUUAGAUUGGAUUUCUCUGAGACAAACUGAAUGAGUCUGAACUUUUUGGAACUAACCAUAGCAUGUAUGUAUCACCAUGCCUUUAGGCAAAAUAGGGAAGACUGGAGAAGUAAGUUUAUACAUUGCUACAUAUUGAACUCAGUUUUUAACUAGUUGAAUUUGAGAUUAUAUGGAAAGGAGGUUAAUAAUAUGUAUUGUACCUAAACAGUUUUUAUGAGUUACAGGAUAAAAGAAGAAAAACAUCUGUAUUCAUUGGCUAAUUGAUAGAAAGCAGAACCUCUUUUAGAAGCACAGUUACUAAUGUAUUUUUUUUCUUUAAUGUGGCACCAUGUAGAGAGAUGGGAUGAUAUCUAAAAACUCAAGUAUUGUCGAUGAUAGAGGAGACAAAUGCUAAUCGUAAUGGAAAACCAACCAAGAGAUCAAGCUAUCUCUACAAUUCAGGUAACUUCUGAAGAACUGAAUAUUAUAAUUCAGAAUAUAAUGACCUGGGUUGUGGCUAAAGUGACUAGUAUAUUGUACCCAGCCAUCACAAAGUAUGAAGAAAGAUUGAGAAAUAAUACAUACCCAGCAUCUGAUAACUCCAUCCUCUCUUCAGAUAGUUCAAGUUUCUGUAGCACAUGCAGUGAAGACUUUACAUAUAGAACCUACAUAUCUUCAACAACUAAAACAUUUCAGGCAGAACCCUGUGCAUUUGCAGUGGACCUGUCAGUAAGACCAACCACACUGAUACAACUUUCUCCUGCACAUAAGGAAAGAACUGUUUUGGGGAAAACCUAUCAUGCAAAAGGACAAUCUAUAACCCGAACACUUAAAUAUAAUAAAAUCAAUGUGCUAUGAUCAUACCCUAAGCUCAGAAGUUGUAAAUCAGACAGUGAUCUUUUAGCAUCAUUUGAAACAAGCACAACAAAGUAUAAGGAUGCUACUACUCAAACAGAUAGCCUACGGAGUUCAUCGAUUUGUGAUAAAAAAGCAAAAGCCAUAGAUGAAAUGA
ensembl:lincRNA